UCCAAGUCGGAGCUCGUUUUUUUUCGAGUUUCCAGCUGGACACACAGAAGUUGGAAGUUGGAGAUUUCUGAUUUCCGAGUUCCCAGUUGUUUGAACGUGGCAUCAAACACUCUCCACCCAAACCUCUAGCACUCUCACGCUAUUGGCUGACUGUUCGUUCUGUCACUUUCGAAACCAUAUAAACCUAUGGCCCGCACCUUCAUUACUGUCAAAUUUAUUGCGCAAAUGAGCGCAAUCCCACGAAAAAAAUGUGCACUCGAGAUUGCCAAAACCUGUCUGGAUUAUACUAGCCCUACCUCACUUUAAACGUAUCAGAAUGUCAACGACAGAUUCUCAACAAACUUGACACUUUUUUGAUGAUAAACGUGUAAAACGUGUGCUUGUUGUCUUAUGUGUUUGUGGGCCUAUUUGUAAUAGUGAAGGUCUUCAUAUGUCACUUUCCCCUGUUCACUAUAGCAUAGGUCACUGACUAGUGUCACCAACCGCAAGACUCCAAAAGACCUGCAGGACCGGUGGCGAUUUUUAUUUAUUGUAAAAAUGAACCUUAUUGGGAGCUACCAGCAUCAUCAUCUGAUGCACGAGACGUUUCCGUUCGUCCAGAGGUGUCAUCAAGAUUAUCCCUACUUCCAAAACUGGGUGGUGAACCAUGGCGAAGUCAACUCUGACUUCCAGAUCCAGAUGUCUUACUCCACGGAGUUCGGGGCUCCGGGUCCGGCGCAAGAAAGCCAGCUGGACGCUCUCUCCGCGUGCAUGGGGAAGAGGAGAGCAUCAGGGCCGAAGAAGGAGCGGAGAAGGACAGAGAGCAUCAACACCGCGUUCUCCGAACUGAGAGAAUGUAUACCAAACGUACCGGUAGAUACGAAACUGUCCAAAAUUAAAACGUUACGACUAGCAACAAGUUACAUUGCCUACCUAAUGGACGUGCUGGCUAAAGACACUGGGGAGACAGAGGGAUUCAAGGCCGAAAUCAAGAAAUAUGAUAGAGAUUUGAAACGGAAACAGGAAACGAACGAUGUCCUGCAAGAGUCAUUAGGAAACGAGAAAAAGUUCAAAGGACGGACAGGUUGGCCUCAGCAAGUCUGGGCUUUGGAACUUAACCAGUGAAUGUUUUGACCUCUGAGCAUGCAACCCACUCAAAGACUCCGUAUUCAAGCACGUCGCUGCAAGGAAUACAACCACUUAUACUCAUCUACUGUAUAUACGUGCAAUGUUCAAAUUCAAACAAGGUGGACUUGGUAAAAUGCAAUAUUAUGCAAAUAUUUCAACAACUGCCUGGUAAAUGUUUCUUUGUCAUUUGUCGUCUGGUAGAACUUAAAUGAAAGUUGUAUAGCUUAGAAUAAAUCUUUUUGGUUGUGGAUAGGCCACAAUAACGGACGGAGAGAGUGGGAUAUUUGAGGUGUUUCUUUAUGCCUCACGGUUAUGGGGCAAUGCUGUUCAGCAUUAUUUUUCCCGCUUUGCAUUGGUCUUGUUGUAGUAGAGUCGACUUACUGUCGUGCUAUGUCUUGUAAAGAAAAAUGUUGAAUCUACCUCAAAUGAAUGUAACUGUUCGUUUGAAAUAGAGUGUAAUGGAACGCACAGGUUUAUAUUACUUCGAAAUGAUACCGGUAAAGGCCAACUAUUAGACUAUUGGUAUUUGGUUUUGAUAGUUUUCUUCUUAUGAAUUCAAUGUGAAAUUAUAUUCAUUAUAAUUACUUAAUUUAAUCACACAAUCUUUAAAACGGCAAUGAAAUCAGUCAGUUCUUCAACAGAAUGAUUAGGUAGGCUAUACAAAUAUUGAUAUGCAUAGCUCUAGGCAAUUAUUAAUUUGCUUUAUGAGGACACAUUCUUAUUUUAUUUAUUAAAACUUUUGUUUUAUGGUGAUGGUAGGCUUACUAGAUAAUUUAAGGGUUUGAGGUGCAGUAGUAUACAAUAUGAAAAUACAUGCAUCAGUGUGCUGUGUCUGGAGGACAAUAAACAGUGGUAGGACUAA